rnacentral:rRNA from 1 species
UACGGAGGAUGCGAGCGUUAUCCGGAAUCAUUGGGUUUAAAGGGUGCGUAGGCUGGUAUUUAAGUCAGUAGUGAAAUUUUCGUGCUUAACAUGAGAGCUGCCAUUGAUACUGGGUACCUAGAGUGUAUUUGAUGUGGGCGGAAUGUGUUGUGUAGCGGUGAAAUGCUUAGAUAUGACACAGAGCACCGAUAGCGAAGGCAGCUCACAAAGUUACAACUGACGCUGAUGCACGAAAGCGUGGGGAUCAAACAGG